ACGGAAGGCAGCAGUGGGGAAUAUUGCACAAUGGGCGAAAGCCUGAUGCAGCGACGCCGCGUGAGUGAAGAAGUAUCUCGGUAUGUAAAGCUCUAUCAGCAGGGAAGAAAAUGACGGUACCUGACUAAGAAGCCCCGGCUAACUACGUGCCAGCAGCCGCGGUAAUACGUAGGGGGCAAGCGUUAUCCGGAUUUACUGGGUGUAAAGGGAGCGUAGACGGUUUGGCAAGUCUGAAGUGAAAUGCGGGGGCUCAACUCCUGAACUGCUUUGGAAACUGUCGAACUAGAGUGCAGGAGAGGUAAGUGGAAUUCCUAGUGUAGCGGUGAAAUGCGUAUAUAUUAGGAGGAACACCAGUGGCGAAGGCGGCUUACUGGACUGUAACUGACGUUGAGGCUCGAAAGCGUGGGGAGCAAACAGGAUUAGAUACCCUGGUA
rnacentral:rRNA from 1 species